GAUGAACGCUGGCGGCGUGCCUAAUACAUGCAAGUCGAGCGAACGGACGAGAAGCUUGCUUCUCUGAUGUUAGCGGCGGACGGGUGAGUAACACGUGGAUAACCUACCUAUAAGACUGGGAUAACUUCGGGAAACCGGAGCUAAUACCGGAUAAUAUUUUGAACCGCAUGGUUCAAAAGUGAAAGACGGUCUUGCUGUCACUUAUGGAUGGAUCCGCGCUGCAUUAGCUAGUUGGUAAGGUAACGGCUUACCAAGGCAACGAUGCAUAGCCGACCUGAGAGGGUGAUCGGCCACACUGGAACUGAGACACGGUCCAGACUCCUACGGGAGGCAGCAGUAGGGAAUCUUCCGCAAUGGGCGAAAGCCUGACGGAGCAACGCCGCGUGAGUGAUGAAGGUCUUCGGAUCGUAAAACUCUGUUAUUAGGGAAGAACAUAUGUGUAAGUAACUGUGCACAUCUUGACGGUACCUAAUCAGAAAGCCACGGCUAACUACGUGCCAGCAGCCGCGGUAAUACGUAGGUGGCAAGCGUUAUCCGGAAUUAUUGGGCGUAAAGCGCGCGUAGGCGGUUUUUUAAGUCUGAUGUGAAAGCCCACGGCUCAACCGUGGAGGGUCAUUGGAAACUGGAAAACUUGAGUGCAGAAGAGGAAAGUGGAAUUCCAUGUGUAGCGGUGAAAUGCGCAGAGAUAUGGAGGAACACCAGUGGCGAAGGCGACUUUCUGGUCUGUAACUGACGCUGAUGUGCGAAAGCGUGGGGAUCAAACAGGAUUAGAUACCCUGGUAGUCCACGCCGUAAACGAUGAGUGCUAAGUGUUAGGGGGUUUCCGCCCCUUAGUGCUGCAGCUAACGCAUUAAGCACUCCGCCUGGGGAGUACGACCGCAAGGUUGAAACUCAAAGGAAUUGACGGGGACCCGCACAAGCGGUGGAGCAUGUGGUUUAAUUCGAAGCAACGCGAAGAACCUUACCAAAUCUUGACAUCCUUUGACAACUCUAGAGAUAGAGCCUUCCCCUUCGGGGGGGCAAAGUGACAGGUGGUGCAUGGUUGUCGUCAGCUCGUGUCGUGAGAUGUUGGGUUAAGUCCCGCAACGAGCGCAACCCUUAAGCUUAGUUGCCAUCAUUAAGUUGGGCACUCCAAGUUGACUGCCGGUGACAAACCGGAGGAAGGUGGGGAUGACGUCAAAUCAUCAUGCCCCUUAUGAUUUGGGCUACACACGUGCUACAAUGGACAAUACAAAGGGCAGCGAAACCGCGAGGUCAAGCAAAUCCCAUAAAGUUGUUCUCAGUUCGGAUUGUAGUCUGCAACUCGACUACAUGAAGCUGGAAUCGCUAGUAAUCGUAGAUCAGCAUGCUACGGUGAAUACGUUCCCGGGUCU
rnacentral:rRNA from 1 species